UUCUGCAUUCUGUUUGGCUGAGCUGAAUGACGUCACAUAUGUUGUACUCACUCAAAAAUUAAAACAAUAAUAUUAAUACAACGUGAAUUGAGAGUUUAUCUAUGUAUUGGAUGAUAUAACUCUCUUCAAUGUAAUAGUCUGGUCAAGGGAUCUCGACUCUUAAGGCGAGCUCCAAUGAACAAGUGUUUCACUCAGUGGAUCUCAUCUCCCUUAAUGGAAAGCUCGUUCAUUGUGCAGAUCUUCCACAGAAUCAUCUUAUACUUCUACAUAAAUAUAAAUAAGUAUAAAUGUAUAUUAAACUAACUUUACUUAAUUUCUUUCCAAUAAAGCUAUUUUUAGGAUAUAUUCUAUACUACAAUUAAGCUGAAAUUAUUAUGUUAUAAUCAAUUAAAGAAUGAAGCGUAAGUAAAUAUCAUUGGAACAAAUAAGUUGUUAAAUAAUUUUUGAAUCAUCUCGAUUUCACUUGUAUAAAGUACAUUCUUAUGAAUUAAAAAUGCACAUGAUAGAAGCUUUAUGAAUACAUACUAUUUAAUAAAAAUGACAUGAUAUGAUUAAAAAAUGAAUAUUUUUUUAUGGUUAA
rnacentral:lncRNA from 1 species